rnacentral:SRP_RNA from 1 species
GCUGGGUGUGGAGGCGCAUGCCUAGAAUCCCAGCUCCUAGGGAGGCCAAGGCUGGCCAGUCUGGAGCUUGGGAAUUCUCAGCUGCACUGGGUUAUGCCAAUCAGAUGUCUGCACUAAAUUAGGCCUCCAUAUGGUGAGCUCCUGGCAGUGGACAUCACCAGGUUACCUAAAGAGAGGGUCAGAAUGGAGAUGGGGUAGGUCAAAGGUUCCCUGCCAAUCAGUAGUGGGAUCAGGCCUGUGAGUAGCUUCUGUACAUCCAGCCUGGGUGAGAGAGGGAAACCCAGUCUUU